GAGUUUGAUCCUGGCUCAGGACGAACGCUGGCGGCGUGCUUCACACAUGCAAGUCGAACGGAAAGGCACCUUCGGGUGUACUCGAGUGGCGAACGGGUGAGUAACACGUGAGUAAUCUGCCUUUAGCUUUGGGAUAAGCCUCGGAAACGGGGUCUAAUACUGGAUAUGACUGCUGCUCGCAUGAGUGGUGGUGGAAAGUUUUUCGGCUAGAGAUGGGCUCGCGGUCUAUCAGCUUGUUGGUGGGGUAAUGGCUCACCAAGGCUUUGACGGGUAGCCGGCCUGAGAGGGCGACCGGCCACACUGGGACUGAGAUACGGCCCAGACUCCUACGGGAGGCAGCAGUGGGGAAUAUUGCGCAAUGGGCGAAAGCCUGACGCAGCGACGCCGCGUGAGGGAUGACGGCCUUCGGGUUGUAAACCUCUUUCGGUAGGGACGAAGCGUAAGUGACGGUACCUGCAGAAGAAGCGCCGGCUAACUACGUGCCAGCAGCCGCGGUAAGACGUAGGGCGCAAGCGUUGUCCGGAUUUAUUGGGCAUAAAGGGCUCGUAGGCGGCUUGUCGCGUCUGUCGUGAAAGCUCAGGGCUUAACUCUGAGUUUGCGGUGGAUACGGGCAGGCUUGAGGCAAGUAGGGGAGAACGGAAUUCCAUGUGUAGCAGUGAAAUGCGCAGAUAUGUGGAGGAACACCGGGUGGCGAAGGCGGUUCUCUGGGGCUGUUCUGACGCUGAUGAGCGAAAGCGUGGGGAGCGAACAGGAUUAGAUACCCUGGUAGUCCACGCUGUAAACUAUGGGCGCUAGGUGUGGGGCGGCGUUGUUCGUUCCGUGCCGUAGCUAACGCAUUAAGCGCCCCGCCUGGGGAGUACGGCCGCAAGGCUAAAACUCAAAGGAAUUGACGGGGGCCCGCACAAGCGGCGGAGCAUGCGGAUUAAUUCGAUGCAACGCGAAGAACCUUACCUGGGUUUGACAUCACCCGUUUACCUGCAGAGAUGUGGGGUCCUUCGGGGCGGGUGACAGGUGGUGCAUGGCUGUCGUCAGCUCGUGUCGUGAGAUGUUGGGUUAAGUCCCGCAACGAGCGCAACCCUUAUCCUAUGUUGCCAGCGCGUUAUGGCGGGGACUCAUGGGAGACUGCCGGGGUCAACUCGGAGGAAGGUGGGGAUGAGGUCAAGUCAUCAUGCCCCUUAUGUCCAGGGCUUCACGCAUGCUACAAUGGCCGGUACAGAGGGCUGCGAUACCGUGAGGUGGAGCGAAUCUCAUAAAGCCGGUCUCAGUUCGGAUCCUAGUCUGCAACUCGACUGGGUGAAGUCGGAGUCGCUAGUAAUCGCAGAUCAGCAACGCUGCGGUGAAUACGUUCUCGGGCCUUGUACACACCGCCCGUCACGUCAUGAAAGUCGGCAACACCCGAAGCCCGUGGCCCAACCUUUUUGGGGGGAGCGGUCGAAGGUGGGGCUGGCGAUUGGGACGAAGUCGUAACAAGGUA
rnacentral:rRNA from 1 species